UCGGGAGUAAAGUUUUGUUUAAACCGAAAGAAUAUUGGCAGAUUUUCUAAAUUAUCUUUGGAGGUUGAGCGGUAAUUGAGAGCCCUCAUUGACUACUUUUUUAUUAAGCUCAUGUAUGAUCGUUUAUUUUUUUCUUAAGGGAAAAAAGUAGAAUUUGGUAAGUUUUAAAAAUAGAUAUAUAUUUGGUUUAUAAGUUAAGUUGAGUUUGACCUACAGUGUGUUAUUUUUUUGGAUUAUUAAUGUAGUGUUAUUAUGAAAUUGUAAAAGACAGUAAAGGAAUUUUGAUGGUUCUUUGAAGAGUAUUUAGAAGUGGUACAAACCAUCCGUC
rnacentral:rRNA from 1 species